rnacentral:rRNA from 1 species
GAGUUUGAUCCUGGCUCAGGACGAACGCUGGCGGCGUGCCUAAUACAUGCAAGUCGAGCGAACCAAUUGAAAGCCUAGCUUUCAUGAGGUUAGCGGCGGACGGGUGAGUAACACGUGGGCAACCUGCCCUAUAGGCUGGGAUAACUCGCGGAAACGCGUGCUAAUACCGGAUAACACAUCAAAGUGCAUGCUUUGAUGUUGAAAGAUGGUUCUGCUAUCACUAUAGGAUGGGCCCGCGGCGCAUUAGCUUGUUGGUGGGGUAACGGCCUACCAAGGCGACGAUGCGUAGCCGACCUGAGAGGGUGAUCGGCCACACUGGGACUGAGACACGGCCCAGACUCCUACGGGAGGCAGCAGUAGGGAAUCUUCCACAAUGGGCGAAAGCCUGAUGGAGCAACGCCGCGUGAGCGAAGAAGGUCUUCGGAUCGUAAAGCUCUGUUGUAAGGGAAGAACAAGUGCAGUAGUAACUGGCUGCACCUUGACGGUACCUUACUAGAAAGCCACGGCUAACUACGUGCCAGCAGCCGCGGUAAUACGUAGGUGGCAAGCGUUGUCCGGAAUUAUUGGGCGUAAAGCGCGCGCAGGCGGUCUCUUAAGUCUGAUGUGAAAGCCCCCGGCUUAACCGGGGAGGGUCAUUGGAAACUGGGAGACUUGAGUGCAGGAGAGGGAAGCGGAAUUCCAUGUGUAGCGGUGAAAUGCGUAGAGAUAUGGAGGAACACCAGUGGCGAAGGCGGCUUCCUGGCCUGUAACUGACGCUGAGGCGCGAAAGCGUGGGGAGCAAACAGGAUUAGAUACCCUGGUAGUCCACGCCGUAAACGAUGAGUGCUAAGUGUUUAGGGGGUUUCCACCCCUUUAGUGCUGCAGCUAACGCAUUAAGCACUCCGCCUGGGGAGUACGGUCGCAAGACUGAAAC